GUGCCCCCUUUGGCAGCACAUAUACUAGAAUUGGAACAACACAAAGAAGAUGAGCAUGGCCCCUGUGCAAGGAUGACAUGCAAAUUUGUGAAGCAUUUCAUAUAUUU